rnacentral:rRNA from 1 species
GACGAACGCUGGCGGCGUGCCUAAUACAUGCAAGUCGAACGAGAGCGACCGGUGCUUGCACUGGUCAAUCUAGUGGCGAACGGGUGAGUAACACGUGGGUAACCUGCCCAUCAGAGGGGGAUAACAUUCGGAAACGGAUGCUAAAACCGCAUAGGUCUUCGAACCGCAUGGUUUGAAGAGGAAAAGAGGCGCAAGCUUCUGCUGAUGGAUGGACCCGCGGUGCAUUAGCUAGUUGGUGAGGUAACGGCUCACCAAGGCCGUGAUGCAUAGCCGACCUGAGAGGGUGAUCGGCCACAUUGGGACUGAGACACGGCCCAAACUCCUACGGGAGGCAGCAGUAGGGAAUCUUCCGCAAUGGACGCAAGUCUGACGGAGCAACGCCGCGUGAGUGAAGAAGGUUUUCGGAUCGUAAAACUCUGUUGUUAGAGAAGAACAA